AUGAACGCUGGCGGCGUGCCUAAUACAUGCAAGUCGAGCGAACAGACGAGGAGCUUGCUCCUCUGACAUUAGCGGCGGACGGGUGAGUAACACGUGGAUAACCUACCUAUGAGACUGGGAUAACUUCGGGAAACCGGAGCUAAUACCGGAUAAUAUAUUGAACCGCAUGGUUCAAUAGUGAAAGACGGUUUUGCUGUCACUUAUAGAUGGAUCCGCGCCGCAUUAGCUAGUUGGUAAGGUAACGGCUUACCAAGGCGACGAUGCGUAGCCGACCUGAGAGGGUGAUCGGCCACACUGGAACUGAGACACGGUCCAGACUCCUACGGGAGGCAGCAGUAGGGAAUCUUCCGCAAUGGGCGAAAGCCUGACGGAGCAACGCCGCGUGAGUGAUGAAGGUCUUCGGAUCGUAAAACUCUGUUAUUAGGGAAGAACAAAUGUGUAAGUAACUAUGCACGUCUUGACGGUACCUAAUCAGAAAGCCACGGCUAACUACGUG
rnacentral:rRNA from 1 species